rnacentral:rRNA from 1 species
AGCACCCUUGUCCGGAGGAAUUUGGGGCUCGUUAAGACGGGGGGUCCAUGACGGUACCGGAAGAAUAAGGACCGGCUAACUACGUGCCAGCAGCCGCGGUAAUACGUAGGGUCCAAGCGUUAAUCGGAAUUACUGGGCGUAAAGCGUGCGCAGGCGGUUGUGCAAGACCGAUGUGAAAUCCCCGAGCUUAACUUGGGAAUUGCAUUGGUGACUGCACGGCUAGAGUGUGUCAGAGGGGGGUAGAAUUCCACGUGUAGCAGUGAAAUGCGUAGAGAUGUGGAGGAAUACCGAUGGCGAAGGCAGCCCCCUGGGAUAACACUGACGCUCAUGCACGAAAGCGUGGGGAGCAAACAGGAUUAGAUACCCUGGUAGUCCACGCCCUAAACGAUGUCAACUAGUUGUUGGGGAUUCAUUUCCUUAGUAACGUAGCUAACGCGUGAAGUUGACCGCCUGGGGAGUACGGUCGCAAGAUUAAAACUCAAAGGAAUUGACGG